rnacentral:rRNA from 1 species
UUGAACGCUGGCGGUAUGCUUAACACAUGCAAGUCGAACGGAAACGAUACUAGCUUGCUAGUAGGCGUCGAGUGGCGGACGGGUGAGUAACGCGUAGGAAUCUGCCUGAUAGUGGGGGAUAGCCCGAAGAAAUUCGGAUUAAUACCGCAUAAUCUAUUCGUAGUAAAGUGGGGGACUUUCGAGCCUCACGCUAUCAGAUGAGCCUGCGUAAGAUUAGCUUGUUGGUAGGGUAAAAGCCUACCAAGGCGACGAUCUUUAGCUGGUCUGAGAGGAUGAUCAGCCACAUCGGGACUGAGACACGGCCCGAACUCCUACGGGAGGCAGCAGUGGGGAAUAUUGGACAAUGGGGGCAACCCUGAUCCAGCAAUACCGCGUGUGUGAAGAAGGCCUGAGGGUUGUAAAGCACUUUCAAUUGUGAAGAAAAGUUAGCGGUUAAUAACCGUUAGCCUUGACGUUAACUUUAGAAGAAGCACCGGCUAACUCCGUGCCAGCAGCCGCGGUAAUACGGAGGGUGCAAGCGUUAAUCGGAAUUACUGGGCGUAAAGCGUGCGUAGGCGGUUUAUUAAGUCAGAUGUGAAAGCCCCGGGCUUAACCUGGGAACUGCAUUUGAAACUGGUCAACUAGAGUAUGGUAGAGGAAAGUGGAAUUUCUGGUGUAGCGGUGAAAUGCGUAGAUAUCAGAAGGAACAUCAAUGGCGAAGGCAGCUUUCUGGACCAAUACUGACGCUGAGGUACGAAAGCGUGGGUAGCAAACAGGAUUAGAUACCCUGGUAGUCCACGCCGUAAACGAUGAUAACUAGCCGUUGGGGGGAUUUACCCUUUAGUGGCGAAGCUAACGCGUUAAGUUAUCCGCCUGGGGAGUACGGCCGCAAGGUUAAAACUCAAAGGAAUUGACGGGGACCCGCACAAGCGGUGGAGCAUGUGGUUUAAUUCGAUGCAACGCGAAGAACCUUACCUGGUCUUGACAUCCUGCGAACUUUCUAGAAAUAGAUUGGUGCCUUCGGGAACGCAGUGACAGGUGCUGCAUGGCUGUCGUCAGCUCGUGUCGUGAGAUGUUGGGUUAAGUCCCGUAACGAGCGCAACCCCUAUCCUUAUUUGCCAGCACAUCAUGGUGGGAACUAUAAGGAGACUGCCGGUGAUAAACCGGAGGAAGGCGGGGACGACGUCAAGUCAUCAUGGCCCUUACGACCAGGGCUACACACGUGCUACAAUGGGAAGGACAAAGAGCCGCGAAGCCGCGAGGUGUAGCUAAUCUCAUAAACCUUUUCGUAGUCCGGAUUGGAGUCUGCAACUCGACUCCAUGAAGUCGGAAUCGCUAGUAAUCGUAGAUCAGAAUGCUACGGUGAAUACGUUCCCGGGUCUUGUACACACCGCCCGUCAAGGG